rnacentral:tRNA from 1 species
GUUUAUGGCUCAGUGGUAGAGUGCUCGCUUCGCAUGUGCAAGGCCCUGGGUUCGAUCCUCAGCACAACA